UACGGGGGGGGCAAGCGUUGUUCGGAAUUACUGGGCGUAAAGGGCUCGUAGGCGGCCAACUAAGUCGGACGUGAAAUCCCUCGGCUUAACCGGGGAACUGCGUCCGAUACUGGAUGGCUUGAGUCCGGGAGAGGGAUGCGGAAUUCCAGGUGUAGCGGUGAAAUGCGUAGAUAUCUGGAGGAACACCGGUGGCGAAGGCGGGUCUCUGGGCCGAUACUGACGCUGAGGAGCGAAAGCGUGGGGAGCGAACAGG
rnacentral:rRNA from 1 species